rnacentral:tRNA from 1 species
GGGGUCAUAGUUCAACGGCAGAAUGUCGGUCUCCAAAACCGAUGAUCGAGGUUCAAAUCCUCGUGACCCCGCUA